rnacentral:tRNA from 1 species
CGCACAAAAGUUUAGUGGUUAGAGCUUAGGUCUCGUAACCGAAAGGUUGCGGGAUCGAAUCCCGCUAGGCUA